UCACAUCACCACCUCUACUGCACACAGGGUUAUAUUUAGAAGAUUAAGAAACUGACACAAGACCAUCAUCUUUUGGACAGUUUAUUAGACAAGAUACAUCUUAGCCAGUCUUCCUACAUCGGUUUAGGGGGAGCUCUUGGAGGUGCACCC